rnacentral:lncRNA from 1 species
AAGCCUCUCCUGCUCCUACAAGUCCCCCUACUUCUCCAGGUUCCCCUGGUCAGUCCCAAUCCCUGCCUCCCUGUGCCCUCUCUACCAACCAGUCCCCCUGGGGGAUCUCUAGCCGGCCUUCCUGUCACACCUUCCAGGAUCAGGGAGAGUGUCCCCUCGUGGGGAAGCGGCAGGUGGCAAGGGCACCGUCCAAGUACAGGUGUCCUUCUCCCCGACCAGGUGAGCCCAGUGUAAACACAGUCUGGGCCAUUUUUCUUAGGAUCCUUUCAGGUUUACUGAAGGCUUUCAAGCCUUGAGCCUGACCUUUGAUUCAACAUGGAAGGACAUCCAAAUAGCCUGUCUUCCUGUUGUGUCCACAAGAAGCGGAGGGUUUGGGCAGCAGCGUGAGGGCACGCUGACCAGCUCCACAGGGGCCGACCCAACAGGGAACUAUAUCCAGUCUCUUGGGACAGACCAUGAUGGGCGAUAAUAUGAGAAAAGGAAUAUAUGCCCAGGUCACUUUGCUGUCCAGCAGAAAUUGACACAACAUUGUAAAUCGACCAUACUUUAAUUUUAAAAACAAAAUCAAGAGUUCCCAGCAUGGCACAGCAGAAAGAAAUCUGACUAGCAUCCAUGAGGACUCAGGUUCGAUCCCUGGCCUCCAUCAGUGGAUUAAGGAUUCAGCGUUGCCAUGUGCUGUGGUGUAGGUUGCAGACGCAGCGCCAGAUCCCUUGUUGCUGUGGCUGUGGUGUAGACCAGCAGCUGCAGCUCCGAUUCAACCCCUGGCCUGGGAACCUCCAUAUGCCACAGGUGCAGCCACCCACCCCAAAAAAGGAAAAAGGAAUGAAAAAUGCAUCAGGAAACCAACCAACUAUGAAAAGGUCAAGGAAGUGACCCAAGAGAAGGAAGAAAAUCCAGUUUUCUUUCAAGGAUGGUAUGCGGAGGCUUUCAGAAAAUUAACUAACACCGACCCCUUCACUCCCAAGGGUCAGUCCUUGCUGGGACAACAUUUUAUCAACCAGUCUGGGAUUUAUUAGGCAAAAGCUACCAUCAGCCCACAAACCCCUGUGCCUCAACUCAGAGGUAGCCUUUGGGGCAUUUAAUAAUUGAGAUCAAGCUGAGGAGGAGGAAAGAACUCAGUGUGAAAAAGGCAGGCCAAGGCUCAAGCUAAACUCAUCACCAUUGCUGUCAGCCUGGCCUUGCAACCUGAGGGCAACCCCAGGGGACCUAGAAGCGUCAACCAUUGGUCUGGAGGCAAGAUCAACAAGGCGGGGGCUCUUCAAGUGCGAGUCAACCAACCACUGGGCCCGCGAAUACCAGAAGGGGCCCACCUGGGCCAUGCCCAGUCUGCACACAAACCAGUCACUGGAGGUGGGACCAUGCUUGGUCCCGAAGGGGUAGGGGGCUCCCACUCCUGAACCAGCCAUGCUGGACAGCUGAGGGGGCCUAGGAUUCUGGCAGCUCUCCCACCCCCCACGAGAUCUGCACGGAGGAGCCCCAGGCAGUUCUUGGCAUGGCAGGUAAGAUGGAUUUUUCAGUCAAUAUGGCGAGCCACCUGCUCUGUCCUGAUUUCUCACAUUGGACCUCUUUCCUCGAAAAGCUGUGCCCCAACUGGUAUCCGAUGGAAAGCCUCACACCUGUGACCUCACUGGAGUCUCACUUGCCAAUUUCAGCGACAUCUGCAUUCACACACCCUUUUGGUUGUCUCUGCGGGUCCUACCCCACUUCCGAGGGAGACCCUCUGGGCUCCCUCGGGGCCAUGUUACAGUUAGGAGGGCCGGACACCGCCUCAUCCUGUCCUGCACAGGGCAGAUCCACAGGAAGGGCAAGGACCCGUUCCCAGCCACAUGCCACAAGCAGGGAAACCUGCGCUUUGGGACAAAGGAGUUCCUGGGAGCUUAGAAACUGACAGAACAGUGUGAACCAACUACAAUGGAAAAAAUAAAAAUCAUU